CAGCAGCCGCGGUAACACCAGCAGCCCAAGUGGUGGUCGCGAUUAUUGGGCCUAAAGCGCUCGUAGCCGGGCCGGUAAGUCCCUUGUGAAAUCGGACGGCCUAACCGUUCGGCGUGCAAGGGAUACUGUCGGUCUUGAGGCCGGGAGACGUCCGAGGUACUCCGGGGGUAGCGGUGAAAUGUUCUGAUCCUCGGGGGACCACCGGUGGCGAAGGCGUUCGACGAGAACGGGCCUGACGGUGAGGGGCGAAGGCUAGGGGAGCAAACGGGAUUAGAUACCCGCGUAGUCCCUGUCUCUUAUU
rnacentral:rRNA from 1 species